AUACGGAGGGUGCAAGCGUUGUUCGGAAUCACUGGGCGUAAAGCGCGCGCAGGCGGCUAUUUAAGUUGGAUGUGAAAGCCUACGGCUCAACCGUAGAACUGCAUCCAAAACUAUUUAGCUAGAGUGUGGGAGAGGAAGAUGGAAUUAGUUGUGUAGGGGUAAAAUCCGUAGAGAUAACUAGGAAUACCAAAAGCGAAGGCAAUCUUCUGGAACACUACUGACGCUGAGGCGCGAAAGCGUGGGGAGCAAACGGGAUUAGAAACCCUAGUAGUCC
rnacentral:rRNA from 1 species